GUCGUCUCUAACCCUUCAGUUUCACAUAAUUCAGAGUGUGAUUACUAGACGGAUCAUAGUGGCUUAGAAGAACAAAACUUUCACUACAGAAAGCAGGGAACAAGCGAAGCAGCAACAAAUUUGACAAUAGCUUGGAUGGCAUUAUUGGAUCACUCUCCUGGGAAUGCUGAUGGAAACCUUUUGUAUAGAUCGCCUAAAGGACAGAAUGUUUCCAGAACGAGAAAAUACAAUAUUAAACAUUUUGUGUUGCCUGGUAAUCCUCGAGCGUAUAUGACUUGAAUGCUGAAGCACAAGAGCCGGAGUAAUAUUUCCCACGUCCUAAUGAACUUCUCGUCGAAUCCAAUGGAAACAAUUUUGCUCUGGUAAUCCUCGAGCGUAUAUGACUUGAAUGCUGAAGCACAAGAGCCGGAGUAAUAUUUCCCACGUCCUAAUGAACUUCUCGUCGAAUCCAAUGGAAACAAUUUUGCUCUGGUUCUCGAGGAAAUGUUUUCUCCAGAGUCUCAAUGUAGUACAGCUUCCAUCACUUCACUGAAAAAUUCCAUUCGAACUCAUAGUUUUGUUAUGCUUGAUGAGGUCAGGUAUCAAUUUUUGUGGCCAUCAACUAAUGGAACUCGCCAAGAUAAGAUUCUGUCACACUUCUUAUGUUCAGGCAAUUGACGAUAGUCACAAAGUAGAAAUCUGAUGUGGUCCUGGAGACCAGCUUCUUUCACUCUCAUUUCUGCAAAUUUCAGCUGCUCCUCAGACAGAGUGAUGCCAGUGUAUUUACAUCCGCUUUGUUUCACAGUUUCAAUGGUUAAGGUUCCCCAGCCACAUCUAAUCUCAAGAAUGUGAUGCAUCUCAUCAAAUCUUGCUUUUUUUACGAGAGCAUGAACUUUCCUCAUCUGUGCCGCUCGCAAGUCUUCAUCUUCUGUCUCAAAUACUGCACAGGAGUAAAGCAUACUUUCAUCCAAGAACCAAGCCAACAUUUCAUUACUCACAAAAGGGAGGAGACCAACCAGGCUACCCUUAUUAGAAGCUCACUUCAAUUCUACAUGUUUCAAUUCCUCAGGACAAGUUUUAUGAAAUCCUCCAAGGACACCAUUAGGCUGGGAAAUUAAUGCGUAAUUAUGUCAUACCAAGUCAUAUGUUCUUGCGGGCUUGUGUAAGCGUAUUUUUCCUCAAAACAUGCUUGUAAAAAAGUUUUACAGAUGCAAUACUAGCCGUGAACAAUACUGGUGUCCACGAGCCCCUGUUCUUAUUCGAUUUUGAGACAGAUUUGUUUGUAUUGCUAUUGGCAAUCAACAGCAGGAUAAGAUUCAGGAGACCUUCAUUAGUAUCAACAAAAGAAAAAUCUCCAUCAAUGUAAGCAUCUGCGAGACCUAUAUCUGCCCGAGUCAUUACCUUCCAGUAAAACUGAGGAUCAUGAACUUGCAGAACAACUUUUAAAGUACAUUAUGGGCUACUUCCCUCAAAAGUAAUACUUGUGGAUCCUUCUAAUAACCUUGGAAAUCAUCACAAAGCAACCAAGACUAGCUAGAGAGACAGAGAAUGUACAUAUAUAAUAUUAGUGACAAAGCUAUACAUGGGGAAAUUCACGUUAAACAGCCAGCAGAGAUAAAGCGUCCAAGAAUCAUGUUAAUUGCUUCAACAACUGGAAAAUAAAAAUUUCACCAUCAAAUACCACAAGGAGGGAUGCACAGGCCAAUUGCUGUGAUUUGUUGAUUGGAUUGUUGGCAAGGGCAUCACAGGCUGCCUGC
rnacentral:misc_RNA from 1 species